UUUUAGGUUUUAUCCAAAAUCUCUUUGUGUUUUCAAUCGCUAACGGUUCUUCUUUGUUAUAGCAAGUGGGUUUCUUUACAAAUUUCAAAUUUCAAAAGAAUUAGACCGUUGGGAUCUCCAUCACCUAUCGGUUACUGAGGAAGUCGACAAUCCAAGAGAGAUUUGCCGUUUCGAUUUCUUCAAAGGGGGAGACUGAUGAGGAUUACAAUUUGGUUUUUCAGGGAAAAUUGGGGGAAAAAGGAAAAAGAAAGCUUCUUCUGUGCGUGACUUUAAGUUAAAGCAGAGAGACCCAGAAAGAGUUAAAGGAGUUGGCAUAGUCUAAUGAGGUUCUGAGUGAUCCUGAGAAAUCUAUGUAUAAUAUGGUGAGGACGUGCUCAAGGAUCGAAAGGGUGGUAGCGGUGGAGGCCACGACAGAUUUGACAUCUUCCAAUCUUUCUUCGAUGGCAGUGCUUUUGGAGGUAGUCGCAGAGGCGGACCGAGGCAGAGGAGUGGGGAUGAUGUAGUGCACCCUCUAAAGGUUUCAUUGGAAGACUUUAUUUUGGAACCUCAAAUAAGCUCUCACUUUCCUGGAAUGUGAUAUGUUCCAAGUGCAAUGGGUUAGUAAAAAUUUUACCAAUAGCAAGUAUUUCUAGUUUACCUUUGACCUUUUUCUUCUUUAAAAAAUCUCAGGAUAUAAAUAAAUCAGCCUGGGAAAAACUCAAAAUGCCUUUAGGAAAUUUAAUCUUUAUGAGAAUUUCUUCAUCAUUGUUUUAUCAUUUCUCUUUUCAUUUAUAUCCGUGGUUGAUUUCAUUCGGUGUUGUGUUACACAUUUUGGGAUUCUAGAGCUUCUGCUGAGCACAUGGACGAGAGGUGGAACCAUUCUGUGUUUAUGUAUCUAAGUUUGCACCUUUUUUGUCUGUAUUUUCACAUAUGGGAUGUCUACAUUCACAGGGAGUCGAUAAGAAGAUGGAUAUAUAGAUGAGCAUACAAGUUCAUCUUUUGCCCCUUCUGUUUAUGAUAGGGUAAGCUAACCUUGACUUUUAAGAAACUCAAAUUUUAAAUUCUAAAUUGAUGAUUAAUCACCAUGCCCAAAGCACAUGAUGAGCACUGGUCAGUGUUUAGUAUUGAAAUUUGUACAAGUAGGUAGAUAUGACACACAUCAUCACAUGCAUUUGGAAUGGAAUGAAUGUAGUAUAUUCACUUUUUGCACUCAGUUUCAUGCAUAAUAUAAUGAUAUACAUGAAUAUAUUACGCAUACAUAUAAGCAUGUAAGCAACCAUGUAUCUAUCAGUACAUCCCGCAUACAAGCUUAAUCCUGAGUUUGUGGGAUUAACUCUCUCAUCUGCACAACAAUUUCCAACAUUGAUGAUAAGCAUGAUAAUUCCUUAUUGAAGAAUUUAAUUUAAGCAGUAGUCCAAUCUGGUAUAUUAUAUAUUUUAUGUUUUUAUGUUUAUGGUUGUGUAAAGAUGAACUAACAGUAAUAAGAAUGGGUGGUUAUUUAGGAUUGGGAGAGAAGAGAUCGCUUGGGGAUUGCCCGGGGCUCUACCUCCCUUGUGUGGGUGUGUUGUGUUGGUGUCUCUGCUUUCUUUUUCUCCCCUGCAUGGGGUUCUUUGUUCUCUCUUCAGUUUAUUUUUCUCUCUUUCCUUCUUUACUUUUUUCCUAUCUAAUUUUUCUAUCUGGUUUUUACUUUUUCUUCACUUUUUCUCUAUAAUCUCUCUCAGUAUCUCUUCCUCAACUAUCUCCAUUUAAUUCUCAAUUCUUUCUAAAUUCUCUCUACAAUUUGUUUCUCUACUCUCUCUUGUUUUAUUUCUCUCUUAAUUACUUUUUCCCCUUCACUUUUCUCACUUUACUUUUUUCUCUCCAAUUUUACUUACAGUCUCUCUUUUCUCUCUUUUUUUCUUUUGUCUUUAUGCUUUCUCUCUUAUUACUUUCCUCUUAACAUUUUGUCUUUAUAUUUUUCUCCUAAUUUCUCUCAACUUUCUCUGGUUUCUCUCUUCACAUUGGGAGCAACAUUAUUGCGUUUUAGGGUAACUUGUUUAUUUCAUGGUUGGUAAUUCCAAGUUUUCUAAAAUUUCAUUUGUCCGUGAAGAUAAAAUAAUUAACUACUUUUUGAAUCAACUAUACUUUAUUGUAAUACUAAAAUUAUAAACAGUAAAAAUAAAAAAAAGAAUAGAAACCACAAAGAAAAAUAAAGUUGAAAAUUACUUUUUUUAUUACGAUAAAAACUUCUUUUACUAGCAUCAACUGAAAAAGACCAAACUAAUUAAAAGAAAAUACUAAAGAAAUUAAAAUAUUUAGUAAAAUACAAUAUAAUAAUAUAAAACACAAUAGAAAAUCUAAAAUAAGAAUCAAAUUAAUAAAAAUAAAUUUAAAAAUAAACAAUCAAAUAUUAUUAUCUUUUUGGCAAAAGUCAAACCAAUAACAUAAUUAAUUUUCUUAGAACCAACAAAAUACAAUAUAAUAAUAUAAAUCACAAUAGAAAAUCUAAAAAUAAGAAUCAAAUUAAUAUAAAAAUUUAAAAAUUAAACAAUCAUAUAUUAUUUUUUUUGAUAAAACUCAAACCACUAACAUAAUUACUUUUCGUACAACCAACUUUCAAGAAAAAAGAAAAAAGAAAAAGAAGAAGCAUUUAAUCAAAAGAAAACACCAAAAAAGUAAUAACCUUUAAAGAUAAUAAAUGAAAAUACAUUUAACAUGUAAAAGUCUUCUUCCACAAUAAAUGAAAUAAAAAAAUUUUAAAAAUACAUAAAAAAAAUCAUUUAAACGAAAAAAUAACAUAACUUCUAUUAUUUGAAAUAAAAAUAUUUGAUCGAAUUUUUUUAAUACUGCACGUCUUUUACGUUAAUUAAUAGGCUAGAGAGUUCGAAGUAAAACAAUAAUAGGCAUUAAUAUACAUCAUUAAACUAUAUUGUACAAAUAAUAAAAUGUAGAAUUAUUUUAGUAUUUACAGUUAGAAAUGUUAGAUGUAAAAGAAACGUUAACAGGAAAAAUAGUAGUUUUACAAUUGAUUUUAUACAAACAGCAUGCAAAUACUAUAUAAAAAAAAUUAAUGCAAUCAAGAACAAAUGAAAUUUAUGAAAACUUGGCAUUACUAGCUUAUGGAAAGAGAAACUAGAGAGACUUGCUAGAGAAAUUUAUAGAGAAAAUGUAGAGAAGUAAAGUGUAAAGAAAGAGAGAAAGUGCAUAUGGUAGAAAGUAUUAUAGAUAAACUAAAGAGUGGAGAGAAAGGCAAGAAAAUGUAGUGAAAUUGUAGAACAAAAAAGUAAUGAUGAGAAAAUGCAUGGAGAGAGAGUAGGGAGAAAAUUAAGAGGGUGGGAGGGAAAUGGAAAAGAGAAAACAAGAAAGGUCUUGAAAUGGAGAAUUAGAGGGGAGAAAAAAAAGAGAGAAUAAAGUAGCGAAAAAUGGAAAGGGGAAAAACUGGAAAGAGCAAGUGGGUGGAAUAGAAUUGGAGAAUGAAUGUUUGGAGAAGAAAAUGGAAGGAGAGAUGGGAAAGGGCAGACAAAUAGGAGAGAGAAUGAGAGGAAGAGCAGACAAAUAGCAGAGAAAAUGAGAGGAAGGGCAGACAAAUAGGAGAGAAAGUAGGGGGGGGGGGGGUAUUUUUUUAUUUUUCCCCCUUUUUUUCAUGUAACUAUUUAUUUUAAUGUACCUUUUUUCAAUUAUAUUGUAUUUAAUUAAUCAUAUUUUCUAGAAACUUUUAUAGAAAACUUGUUACAUCAUUUGGAAAUUUACUAAUUUUAGUUGAUAAUUUUGUGGUUCUGACCAUGUAAAAGAGGUUCAUGAAUUUUCUUGUUAUUUGAGUUUAGCCGAGUAAUAAAGGUAAUAUUUCUAUUGGCAAAAGUAUAGAAUUUGAAUUUAAGUAUAGAAUUUCAAUUUCCUGCCCCAUGUUCAAAAUUCUAUAUAUCAAUCAUUUCUACCAUGCAUACGCAGAAAAAAUUUGCCUUGGUUUGCAUUAUUAAAUUUCAGUGUUGUGGUCUUUGGGAAAAAAAUGAUGUAUAAUCAGUGACGAUUCCAGAAAAUUUGUUUAAAAGGGCACCGUUAUAUAUGUGAUUAUAUUAAUAUAUGGUGUGGAAAAUAGUUGUAGUCUAACUAAUUAGAAACUUAAUUAAGAAUUAUUUUUUAAAAGAAAAAAAAAUGUUGGGAAAAAAAUAUGAAUUUCAAUGGAAAUAAAAUGCAUAAUAAAUUGAUUGCAAAUAUAUAAUAAUAAUAAUAAUGAUGAUGAUGAUGAAAUAGAAUAAGCACAUUCAUUGAGGCAAUAUAAAAAAUAAAUCUGAUUUUAUUAGGUAUCACCAUUAAGCAAUCACCCAUCUCUAAGAACCCCAUCUUCUUCUUCGUCGGUUUUGUUGUCAUCCUGCUCGUCUUCUUCGCUGCUAAAUCUCCCUCCAAACAUGUCAAGGAGCUCACUCGACCUAUAAACCCUAACUUCAUCUCGCCACAUCAACUGUAUGAUCAACUCCAACCAUUACCAAUCGCCUUCCACAACCACCUACUCCGACCGCUUCAUACCCAGCAGAUCUGGAUCCAACUUCGCACUCUUCAACAUCUCGACUCCGACCAAUUCUCACGGCGAUGGUGGUCGGGAAGACCAUUCGAGUGCCUACGCCACUCUUCUCCGUUCUGCGCUUUUCGGGCCCGAUGCUGGUGUCGUUCCUCCGGUGACGCCAGAGAAGCGGAGCUUGCCAAUGAGCCCCCCCAGCCGGAAUAUUUUCCGUUACAAGACCGAGACUCGGCGGUCCAUGCACUCACUUUCUCCUUUUGGGUUUGAUGAUAAUGUUCCAGGGGUUAAUCUUAUCUCCCUCAAGACUCCAAGAAAAGUUCCCAGGUUUUGGAUGCAGCUGCAUUGCAAGACAAUUUCUAUUUGAAUCUUGUUGAUUGAUCUUCACAUAAUGUGUUGGCUGUUGGUUUGGGCAAUUGUGUUUAUUUAUGGAACGCUUGUAGUAGCAAGGUAACUAAGUUAUGUGACUUGGGAAUUGAUGACAGUGUUUGUUCAGUGGGUUGGGCUCAGCGUGGAACACAUCUGGCUGUUGGAACCAGCAAUGGAAAAGUUCAGGUUAGAGAUAAUUAGUCAAUCAAUUUAUUGUUUGAGGGGGUUUAUUUCAUUUGGUCAAUGAAAGUGUGAAAACUAAGAUGGAAAGAACCUAUCCACAAAUUCAGUAAAUUAUCCAUAAUCAUUGACGAACCUGAAAACCCCUGUAAAUUGUAUAUCACUUUAUAGUUUUCAGUUUAAGUUUAAAAAUAAUCAAAAGCAUGUGAAGAAUUAUUUUAGAUUUUACCAGAGAGAGCCACAAUCAGUCUAAUGAAAGUCGAUGCAUCUGUCAUCCUCGUAGCCACCAUUAGAACCAAUGUAUACUAAUAUUCUUGCUAGGCUGCUUUAAGCUCUUUUAAGCCUGUUUAAAAAUAUUAGAAACAAAGCAUAUCAGUGGGUCACAUCAACACUUUUUAACAAUUAGACUAAAGUAUCACGGUAGCUCCAUGUACAGUUUCUUUCAUUUUGCUUUUUUUGGGAGCAUGGGGAUUACAACUGGAGAUGUGUGAGAAACACUUUCAAGUAUUCGUAGCCAAGUAUCCAUGAAUUUGGGAGUCUUGUAUUGGUUAAAUAUGCAAGACAUGUUCAUAUUGGUACCCGUAUCUGAAGAAAACCCAUUUAGAUGCAAUUGGCUUAGUCAGUUACAGUUAAGAUAAUGUUGAAAAGUUGAGACCUAGAAUGCAAUUUGUUCUUUAUUUGAUUUGUGUAAACAGGGAUGAUGAGUGAUUAAAAGUGGAGAUGAACAAUCUUGUAUCUGUCACCAUAAUCGAAGCUUGCUUGUAUUCCAGUUUUGAUCUCUGUAAUUCUGCCACCACUCCAUUGGCUGUGUAUGUCCUCAGCUAUAGCCUUUUUUCUUUGUAAAGCCUCUUCUUUCUUUUUUCUUUUUUUCUAAACAGAGAAAAUGGCUUCGAAAGAAGAAGAAUGGAUUUUUGAGAUUUCUUACUGCAGCAGAAGAUCGACAACAUAAAGCGAAUGUGACAUUUUGGUCCAUUGAUUCUAGCCCUUAAGAGUUCGUAAACAAUGGAUUCUUUAUCAUCUUUUUCUCCUUUCCUAUAAGCCUGCCCAAAAAAAAAAAAGUCAUAUCAAACAUAUAAAGAUGUGAAUGAUGCAAAACAAUUGGUUAGACAUUGAGAGGAGCAGGAACAUAAUAUUCACAUGCUACAAAACCAAAAGAGCUUCAAGCCGUAUGAAGAUGGGAUGGCGUAGUGGCCCUAGACGAAGCCAUAGCCCAGUUAACCGUCGAAAGCAGAGCAGCAUCGGACAAGAUGGGGGAAAAAUUGGGGUGGAAAGGAAAAAAGGAAAAUCGGAGUCCAGGUCUUUCACUGUUGAAAGCCUCUGUGUUUGACUUGGGACCCAGAAGAGAAAUGAAAGUGAGACAGAUUAGCAAAUCUGUUGGCUAGAUGAGCAAAAGAAUGAAGACCCAGUGCAAGACGCCCCAUCUACUAUAAAAGGAACUCAUUUACAUGAUUGUUGAAAUAAAAAGCCAAAUCAGAGCUAAGUGACACACACAAAGAAGAAGGCUGACUUCGCCAAAAAGCAUAUAGCCGCGAAUAUUAACAUGUAGAUAUAAUUAGAGUUUAUAGAAAUUUGGUUUUGUGAAAUAAGAGGUUUCAGAUACUAAGAUCACAAUUUUACGUGUGAUGAUAUAUGUUUUCAGAGUCUUGACAUAAAAUGCUUAGCCUAUUUUGAAUGUUAUUCAAAAAUUGGGCUUGGAGCACCAUGAAGAGGUUAUUUAUUUGAGAGAUGAAGGGGGGAAAGGAAAAUCUGUAUCAAAUAUAUUAGUUCAACUCUUAAAUUAUUUCAAAUUUGUCAAGAUUAUGGAAAAAAAAAAAAAAAUUGAAAAAAGGGUGGGGUUUAGUAUUUUACUUUAAUGGUCCAUGUCUUCUGCUUAUUUGCUAUACCCACGAGAACACAGGAUGAGAAGUUAUCUGGGGGAUUCUCCACUAUACUUGCUUAGUAGUUAAUUAUCAUGCCCAAAACAAAUGAGCAGAGCUUAGCUGUUAGUAUUGAAAUUCUUGAAAUUUAAAUGAGUAGGCGAAUGGAAUAUAUACCAUAUAAACAUGUGAACAUCAAUAUUGCAUCUACUCAGCACAGGCACGUAUAGACGUACAUUGACUCUCUCAAAUUUUUUAAU